UUGGAAGUAUGGAACUUUAGAAGAUAACGAGUUGACGAGUGAUUUAUUCGAAUGAUUUGAAAAGAAGCUUGUCUAAGUGACUGCUGGAGGCCUGUAGCCUUUGGUUUUUUGGGAAAAGUGCUUUAGUAGAUAAAAUGACGUAUAUUUGCUACGUGAAAGUGAACUAAUUAGCGUUGCUGGGAUACAGUACGUUCUGCAUCAGAUGGGUUCGACACACGUGGUUCGAUUUCAUAUAAAGAGGAAGAAUAUUACUUUAUAAUAUGAGAACUGUCUACUGUUGUGUGAGUGUAAUUCUAGUUUCCAUGAGACAUAACUGUUUGAGAUUGGCAGAACAUGAGUACAGUUCAUGAGUGAUUAACUUUCCAAUAAAGAUGCUGAGUGCUGCCAGGAAAUGCAAACUUAUAGCACAAGAUAAAGAAACCUUCAAAUGCAAUGAAAGAACAUUCUGAUCGUCCAGGGCAAUCACAACUUUCCAGAUCACAAACUUCAAGCGACUGAACUUUUCUCCAGUACUGCUCAGUGCUCAUUUCAAGGAAAAGGGGGAUUGGAUUCGUAUGGACGGUAUCCCAAGUGGUGACCUGGCGGAGGAGGUGGCGGCCUCCUGUUGUAAUCCGGGCGGUGGUGUGGGGGACGUCCAGCGUAAGGAGAUGAAGCCGCUGGAGGAGCAGGAGUCGCUGCUGGAUAUUUGGCCGUCUCCUUGUCCUUCCACUUGGUGAGAUCCAUCCGGGGCAGGACGGAACUCUUGCACGACACUCGCGGAUUGCUGCAUCGAGUGAUUCAAAUUAAUUUAUUCGACUGCAAGUGCACUUAAUUCCUUGCAAGUCGCUACGCUGAGACUGACAGCAGCUACAGGAGCGCUCCACCUUUUGACCGGGAGAGAGUCAACAAAGUGUUCGUCUUUCAUCAUUAUUGCAGCACCUGAUGAAAGCAUUCGAGUCAGACGAUGCUUUUUGGUUCAACAGUUCCGGUGGAGACGGAGAUGCUACCAGCACUGCACGGGAGGUUGACAAGGAACCGACGGAAGCGCAAUAUCGACAUACAGGUAACUGGCCAUUUGAGACGUUUCUUCGUCGAUCCAGCAGCCCAGCGGCUUGCCCUGUAUCUCACGAGACCCUAGAGCUAGACUCUGAAGUCUCGUCUGCAGUAAGGUUGUACGAUAGCCUUAAUUGAAAAUCAUUGCGCAAUUCAUUUGUUAAAUAGAGUAGUGAGGGGCACCUGGUAUUUUUUUUGAAGCCAAACAUAGUUAACCUGAGGAAACUAAGAGCUUAUUCCAAGUAACAACCUUUUCCUCUUCUAACUAUUCUGUUCGUUAGCCACGUGUUUGGAACAACUUUAGCUGUUCCUAACUACCUAUUGCAGCCAUUCCGCUUUGGAUUGAGUAUCAGCCGUAUUUUUACCACGUUAGCGUUAGAAUCUAACGCACUAAUGAACCUUGUUGUUUUCAUUUUAGAAAGUAAAUUCUUUUGCUUUUAAUAAAUUUAAACUUAAAGACCUAAUUUUAAUGUUACGAGAUGUGUGGUUCUCCAUAGUUCCUUUCAUUGGACAUCAUUUUCCCUACGGUUUUUCUAAAUUGAACUUGAAAAAAAAAUUUAACACUUGCAUGUUUUUAUUUCUUUCUGGUGUUUUUCUUAUCAUGUAUGGGAUGGAUUAGUUGUCGAUUGUCUCACUACAUUAUUAUUACAACUAUAGCCAUCUAGCGCUAAUUGUAGCUAAUGCUGGCGUACAGCGUUGUGUAUACCACGUAUGUUGUAACGAUAUGUAUUGUUUUGACGCGAAUCCAAUCGAGGAUGAAAGCGACGCGUCACGAUGGUACAGAGACCACCAGGUAGUUGAGCAAAUGGAGCACGAAGCCUUGAAUUUCACGGCUUUCAUUAAAUCCAACAUGGAGGACAAAAGCGUGGCUUUCGCAUUGACAGCCCCCGAUGUGAACGACGAGACGUGCACCAGUGAGUCGUCCAUUUUCGCUAACCGGAGAGGAAUCUUGAUCCAGAAAAAUGCCGUUCGAAUUCUCAGCUCCAGGAUGAAGAUGCAGGUAAAGAGAUGUGGCCGGCUGGCCGCAAUGAAUAGUUCAAAUUUAAAGCAGAAACAAAGACUUGGAAUCGCCUGCGAAAAGAAGUUUAUCCAAAUUGACGAACGGCAUUUCCACGGCGACAGAAACGACAAACGCCAAAAGGAACGAGAUCACCAAAAUGCCGGCAAAAUUCAUAGCUCCAGAAAUUUCAGUAAAGUAGUAAGGCUUGCGCAGGUGAGAUAUGUAAGCAAACGUGUAAAUGAGGUGAGUCAAGUAAACCGAAUAGCUCAACCGGCUUAACGGAAUGAACAAUUUCCACGACAGGAAUCGGUGGACGAAACCUGUUCCGAAACAGUUAGAGCGUGGCUGGUAAAAUAUUUUAGCAGCACCACAAAGAAAAAUCCAACCUCCAUAUCCGUGAGUGCAGGCGAAUAUGAUCCAACCGAUGGUAAUCGCCCAAGCCGAGUGAUUCAAAACUCCGUAGGAAACCCGAAUAAAAGGGUCGAUGACUGGAACUGUGGCCUCAUCCAGAUAAGGAAACAUUCCGUAAGUUACAAUUAAUCCCAAUAGUGUAGCUGUUAUCCAACCUGCAGCUACCAAAAACUGUCAAUGAAGGGUAUCGUUACACAGCCGUUGUAAUUCUUAAAAUAAUUUAGGGUUAAAUACUUUAUUGAUGUGGAUUGUUUUAUCCUUCGUCUUGUAGAGUAGCCACCCUAGUAGAAUUCCUAUCAGAUAUGGAGGCAUCCGUGCAAAUGUUUCCGAGUAAUGUUUAUCUGCGUAGACAUUAAUUUCUGUUACGUCAGAUCUAGAAUCAAUUAAACAAAUUGUUAUAUGCAUAUUUCCUUCAUAUUUGCAGCAAAUUUACGGUCUGAACCAAAAGAUUGUUGGUGGUAGAUCGUGAACAACAAAAACAAUCGUGGAGAUUCCCAACAUAACUAAAAGGCUGAACGCUGUCCAAAUGAUUCCGGCCCUCUUCCAGCGCCAAAUUGGAUAAAUGAAGAGCGGACUGAUCAAGAACAUUUGCAUGUCGCAGGCAAGAUACCAAGUCUCUAGGGAAGGCAUUUCAGGAUUUGUCCCCCAGUUUCUUACUGGUUUCACAAAGUUGUUGAUGUACAUCAAGUUGGCCCACCAGGAUUUUCUUAAAGCUUUGCUCUUCUGUACCACAAAAUUCCAGUCAGGACCAGUUCCCACGUACGGAUACAGUGUCGAAAUGAACGCCACUAAAGCUGCAUACACUGGGGAGCAACCUCCCUACUUCACCCCGCCAUUUGGGAAUCCAGGGAAGAAAUCUUUACUCCUCAUCCGCAUUUCCCACGGGCAUACAAAUCGAAACCAAAUGAGAUCGUUGUCGGCUCACCAUUCGACAUCUGAAGCCACUGCUCCAGUCGAUCUCGAAACUGAACGGUGAUAAAAGCGGUAUCUUCGUCCGUUGAUGAAACGCAUAGGGUCGCGUUUCCGAUUUCAGCGUUUCCGGCCCAGCUGAACAAGAUCGCUGUAGCUGUAGCCAACGGCAACAAGCCUUUAUCACCGACAUUAUACCAGUGGCCUAAAGCACCAGAUCUAGAAACACAAAGGUGAUGGAAUUCCAUCAUCUUUACGGUCAAUUGAGUUCGACCGUAUCACGAAGUGAAACAUCUAGCCCGAUGUCGUUCAAGAUUUCCAUCAUGGCCCCAAGAAUAACUCGCCUGAUUGGGUGUAUGACUCGUUUUUCCGCACAAACUGCCCCAAAUCCUUUAGCGAAUUCGCUUUGUAAGUUCGAACCCUCUGUGCAUGUCGCACUAAGAAGAAAGGGGCGACCAAAACCGGCAACAUAGGCAUGGACUAAAACCGGCCAGGGAAGUCGCCCGUCACAGAGGAGUGAAGAUGGCUUGGAACUUUAGAGUUAAACCUGCCGACCGGCCGGUCAGCUUGCAUGUCUUUCACGCUUGAAGGUCGCGGGGAACAUUACGUGUAAAACUGUCAAUGCGGUAGUGUAGAGGUUGGGUGAGAACUGGACGUUUUGCAUCAUUAUCAAGCAGGUGCAAUAGCCGCAAGGCUCAGCCAUUUGGUAUUCAUUUUGAUAUUGGGUUUUGUAGACCCAUCCCCAGCAACGUCAACCUAAAGAAGAAAAGGCCAAUUUGCAUAUCCUUCCCACUCGAAGGUCACAGAGAUCAUUACGGAAAACGUGUCAUGCGACGGCGGAGAGGUUGGGUGAGGACGACACGUGUUAUUAUCAAGUAGGUACAAUAGCCGCAAGGCUUAAUAUGUGGAUCAGGAUAAGAAAGAAAUCGUUUAAAAGGAGAGAGAAACGGCCACAGAAAUUAGGUCAGUGAUCACCUCCGACACGGCAACAACUGUAGUGCACUGUCUGUCACCAACUGCCUCCUUCAUCGCAUCGUACAACCAAUUCGCAAUCAUGGUAAACUAUGGCGUUGUGCUGCUGUUGGAUGUUGAAUCGUUGAUGGCUGGGUCGACAAGACAUCUGGUGUACCGAUGUCUCCUGGGUAUGGGGGAUAUCAAAGCACAACACUGCCGCUUUAUUACUCGACAUCAACCAACGCUGCUCCAUCUUAUUACACCACGGCUCCAAAGUACUACACCACCAAGGAGAGAAAAGGCGAUUAUUACACUUUAUAUUAUAACUCGACAUAGCUUAUUAUACCGCCGAAGUGGUAGACUACUACACCAAAGCCCAAGUACUACACUGCAACCUACGCUGCCCCAGGUUACACCACGAAGGCACCGGAAUACUACAACAUAACCUUCUUUGCCCCAAAGACACCCGAUCUGCACAACCACAUCUGAGGCGGCAAAGUAUUACUACACAGCGCCUUCAAUUUUAUAGUAAGGUGGCAGCGUACCAUUGUCUUAUGUUAACGGUUUUGAAGUGAGCUAGAUAUAUUUCUUAGAAUUUGUUAUGUGUUUUUUCGUUCCAAUUUCGUCGGGUUGGAGAGAGCUAAAGAUGUUUAUUGUUUAAGAUUCAAUUAAAAUUUAUUGCAUGUUGAGUUUGAGUUUUCCUGAAAAUGAUCAGCUAUUUUUCAUUAGUAGAUAAAUUUGAAGUUAGAAGAGUUGGAAAUCUUAUGUAUAGUAUUAAAUAUAGGAAAUUUUAUGAGAAGUUGUUUCAUAUAAAAGUGAUAAUUUAUGAUCACAUCACAAUGAUAAUACUACAGCAUGCAAAACCUCAAAUGUAUCAAUAUCUUGCAUUUUCCUAAAUUAUAACUCAGCAAAUGGUGUUCACCACAAUCACUUUAGUAGUAUAGCUUGCAAUUGUCCUCAACAUAAGCAUAGAAUUGGAUCUGGGAAAUAUUUUGGAGAUUUACUACGACUUGAUUGCAAAAAGUUAACCUGAAAUGUGAAAUGUGAUACUUAUUAUAUGCCACAGUAAUAAUUUUAAAUGCUGGAUAGAAUAAGUAACUUGCAAAUAGAAACUAUUUGGCUUUAAAGACAAAGCUUGAGAUAUUGGAUUCUGCACCUAAACCUAGGUCAACUUCAGCUGAAAUUUUCUGAAAACACUGAUCCAAGAAUGCAAUAAUAAUCAUUAGCAAAAUUUUGUGUUAUUUAAAACCAGUUAAAACUACCUCAAAAUCCUAAUUUGAAUUUGUUUGGGUUUUUUAAAGUAACUUUUAACUUAAGAUGAGUAUGGUGUAACUUAGGAACAGACGAAGUUUCCCAAAAGGAAUCUAUUUAGUAGGGCUUUUAGCCCAGUCAAACUGUCACAUUCCAAUGCUGCUCUCCAAUUAUCAAUGGCCAUCGAAACCUACAGAAAAAAAGAAAGAUAUAUCACAGGUAAGGUCAAGUGCAGAAUGACAGGAAUAAAGCUAAAAGGGUGAUACAGGUGAUUAUUAAUUUAAUUAGAUGCCCAGUCCCUAGAGUGAGGAUCAAAUGAGCCAGGAACAUCUGCUGUUGUUGUUGUAAGACAGUAGUGUGGAAUGGAUUUUUCAUCUUCACCAUAAUUUGUGAUUGACUGAACGUUUGGUAUUGGCUUGUAGACAUAGCCUAGUAGUGUCCACAAUGAAUAGAAACACAUUCUGAAUAACUGGCAGGGUUACCUUACCAACUGGGUGUUUUACUGUUUUCCUUUCACCAAUCCACUGCUGUCCAGCACUGUUGCCCAGCAGGCAGCAGGUGCUGAAACGUCUAGAAUCACUUGCAGACAACAUGAACGGAUAAUCGGAUAUCUUGAGUGCCUUCUCCUCAGUGUUGAAGAAGUGUUGUAAAAGUUGGACUGGCAUCCAUUAACACCUUGGGGAUUUCGUCUGUUGUGAUUUGUCAUGUGUGAUGCUGCGUGGUGGCUUCUUGGUGAAAUUUGGCAGGGAGAAUAUUACGAGAAAAUGUGAAAGGGGAAUGCAGCCUACUGUCAACUACUGUGUUUAAAUCCUGGGAUCCUACUGAAUGUGUCAUCCAAAUGACAGAGGAUUCAUCUUAAUUACGACUGAUUCUAUUAGACUUGCACCAACCCCAGCAUGGACCAAUCUCUCAUUCCAUCUUCUAGAGAACCUUGGAUAACUGAUUGGUGGUUUUGUGUGUAAGUUUAUUGUUCAUGUCACCAAACUUUCUUUGUUUCAGUCUAAUAUGUAUUUAAAGUAUUG